rnacentral:lncRNA from 10 species
AGCAACCCACUUGGGUUCCCUUCUGUGCUGUAGAAGCUUUGUUCUUUUGCUCUUUGUGAUAAAUCUUGCUGCUGCUCACUCUUUGGGUCUGCACUACCUUUAUGAGCUGUAACACUCCUUGAGAAGGUCUGCAAUUCCACUCCUGAAGUCAGUGAGACCACCAACCCACGGGGAGGAAUGAAGAACUCUGGACGUGCUACCUUUAAGAGCUGUAACACUCACUGUGAAGGUGUGUGGCUUCACUCCACAAGUCAGCGAAACCACGAACCCACCCGGAGAAACAAACUCCAGACGCGCCAGUUUGAAGAGCUGUAACACUCGCUGCGAAGGUCUGCGGCUUCACUUUUGAAGUCAGCAAGACCACGAACCCACCAGAAGGAAGAAACUCUGGACAUCUGAAGGAACAAAGUUGGGACACACCAUCUUUAAGAACUGUAACACUCAGCACGAGGGUCCCUGGCUUCAUUCUUGAAGACAGCAAGACCAAAAACGCACGGGAAGGAACCAAUUCUGGACACAGUGAGAUUUAUGAUUCUCCAAGGCUCACUGUGGGUAGUGCAUGAAGUCCAGGUCAUGCCGCCUAAAGAAAUAUAAUGGAGAUGAAAGAACCCUAUCGGGAACAGCUCCG